UCCCCUUUUCUCAGUUCUGUUUUGUGCAGGAGGUGGUCCUGCAGAUAGAAGGGGCAUAAAAAGGCAUUGCCAGGGCAGAACUAAUGAUUGACUACGUUAGCUCCACCAACAGGAUGAGAACAGGGUGGAGCUUUGAAUAAUGGUGGGUGCUGGGAGAAGUGAGCUUUAGCAGGGACAAUGACUGGGGAACUGGGCUGUUUGGUUUGGCACUCAUCUCACCCCAUGAUCUCACCAUCCCAGCUCAAGAACCUGUGAGAAGGGUGGCCUGCCUGAGGGGAAAUGGGGAUAAGGCAGCUGGCUUUGAUUUCCCUAGCCCCAUCUGAUCAUCGCUGCUGGGCUAUAGGCAGAGCAGGUAGACUUAAACUCAUAUAUAGUCCAAGUGAUGUGUUGGGGCUGAGAUUGAUGGACAACAUACAUAUGUGAAAUUCAAGCCCAACUUUUUUAGGGAGGUGGCAGACGGCUGUGUACGGGGGGAAAGAAUAUGUGUUUUGCUACAAGAAGAUGGUUCUAUCUACAUUUGGGCUGCAUGAUGCUGAUCAAUCUGGUUAAUGCUGACUUUGAGUUUCAAAAAGGAGUGCUUGCCAGCAUCAGCCCAGGAAUCACCAAAGACAUUGAUCUCCAGUGCUGGAAAGCUUGCUCUUUGACAUUGAUAGAUCUCAAGGAACUCAAGAUAGAGCACAAUGUGGAUGCUUUUUGGAAUUUCAUGUUGUUCUUGCAAAAAUCUCAGCGGCCUGGACAUUAUAAUGUCUUCUUAAACAUAGCUCAGGAUUUCUGGGACAUGUAUGUAGACUGCUUGCUUUCAAGAUCUCAUGGAAUGGGCAGAAGACAGGUGAUGCCCCCCAAAUAUAAUUUUCCACAGAAAAUAACAGGAGGUAAUUUAAAUGUGUAUUUAAGAGAAUAGCAGUUUACUUUUCUUUAAAAGUCACUAUUUAAUUCUUCUGAUUUUUUUCAAGUUAUCCAACAAGGUAGCAAAUUUACCAUAUUUAGUUUUUUUCCCUAAAAUGAUAGGUUUUGAUUCUCAUUUUUACUCAUUUUACAUUAUUUACAAACCACACAAGCUCUGACUUACAAUUUUAAAUGAUCUUGGAAUAUAAUACACUUUGGUAGAUAAUUAAAAUUAUCCUUGUUUGCCCAUGAAUAGUUCAUAAGAAAGCCAUUUAACCCUGUAAUUAUUCAUAUUACAUUUGUUGAAGAAAUUUUAAACAUCAGACAUGUAUUUAGGCUUUUGAAAUUAAUUUUUUCAAUAGGGUUGUAUAAAAGCAGGAAAUUUAAGAGUCAUAUUGGAAUGAAUAUUAACAAUUUCUUCUUUUAAAUCUUACAGGACUAGAUUUUACAAAAUGAGAGUAUUACAUUUAAGAGAAAACAUGUAAAAUACCUCAAGCAAGAUGACAGCGACCUGAAAACUUGUAUUUAUGAGGUCAAAUAUUUCUUGUCAUAGUUAUACAAAUUAUUUAAUACUGAUAAACGUUGUUUUUUGUUGUAAUUGCUUUAUUGCUAUUGAAUUAUUCCAAUAUUUUCAGAUAAUUUCUCAAUUUUUUACUUAGAAGGUGUCUUUUUAAAGUGUCUUUGUUUUAAAGAAAACAUCAGUUAAAAGGCAAAUGUGAUAUAUUUUUUAGAUACAAUAGUCAAUGGAAUAAAAUUGUAACCAAUUUUAUAAGGUAUCUUAUAUAUUAAUAUUGACUAUUAAACUGUGCCAAAACUAAUGGCAGUAUUAUCCUAAAAAGUAAUAUUUAAUGUAGUAUAUUUUGUGGUUUCUGAAAUGUACAUUUCAUUACCAAGCCAUCUUCUAUAUUAAAGUAUUUUUCUAUGCAUUAAGGACUAAAACCUUUUUAUGUUCUCAUUUUUAUUGUCUUUGUUUUGAAAAAGGAACAAUAAACAAAGACAGAAACUUCAUUUCAGUAAAGUACAAUUUGAUAGAAUUUUUGUGUUAGCUGAGUUAUUUUUUAUAUUGCCUAUUUAUAUCUCACAUCUUAUUUCAAAAAGGAUGUGAAGCUUUAAAGAAAUAUACCGAAGAAAAGGAAAACAUGAAGUAGUGGAGGAAAUUGGAACAUUGGGACAUGAAGACAGGGAAGUAAUACAAUGGAGUUACGGUUUAGAUUAAUACUUUUUGAAUGCAUGUCGUAAAAGCCUAUACCUUUGAUAAAGGGUGCCUAUAAAUUUGGUCUGUUUCCCACUUCUCCUAGUGAAGAGGGACACAUGAACAGUUUCAAGAUUCACAUGCUUAUAAGAAAAACCAAACCAUAUGUUCAACAGAGGUCCAGCCUUUUCCAGGACAAAGAAUCAAUGAAAAUCUCACCCAUAGGUUUUCACAGUGGCUACCAUGGUUUACAACACUGGUUUCAAGUAUCCUUACAAUGACAGAUUCUCUCCUUUACAGUCUGAUUCCAGUACACUCAAACUCAAAUAUAAAAAGUUUUAAAAUCGGCUAAAAUAAUACUGAACAAGUAACGAACUGCCUGAUGGUUUGACUUGAUCCAAGAAUAAGCUGAAUUAAAGGAGGGACGUUCUUUGCAUUAUUGACCACUUUCAAAUUCUGAUGAUGUAUAGACCAUUUAUUAGGGGUUUUAUAUAUAAACACUCUUAAAAUUACAUUUUGCAUGUAAUUUCAGGGGGCUGCAUAAACCCCAGGUUAGGAAUUUUCAAUAUUAAAGGACCUCAUAGCGUUCGGCAAUAUUAUUUCAUAUAACCAAUUUUGCAUGAGUAGCAGAUAAUAUAAGAUUGUAGGGCUAAUAAUUUCCUAGAUUGAAAACUUCUUAUCUUGCCAAUUAAGGGUGGAUCCCUAAGCUCAGAAAAUCAACUGGUUGGAGGGUAGGGCUAAUUAAUGUUCUCAUAAAAAUGACCAGACAGCGUGUAAACAUGAGUGAUUUUAUGUCCAUUAAGCUUUUGAUUUGUGGAAUUUAUAUGACAAAUAAUUAGUCUGAUAUGAGUUUUUAAAUUUCAACAUAUUUUCAUAUUGACACUUUAUUACUGUUUAGCUCUAAUCGAAAAGUGAUGAUUCAUUUGAGAGGAGUCACAUUUAUGUGACAGGAGUAAAAAGUUGAGUUAAUCUUGCCAAGAACUUUCCUGUCCUUUCUCAUCUCCAUAUUGAACAUCUGUGUUCUUUAUCAUUAAACUGCUUUUGGUCUAAAAAAAAAAAAAUGACCUGACAGCUAUCCACCUAGAAUUCAUUUCCUGCAGAGGAGCCGAAGUGGUACCUAGAGGCAGUAUUACAGUUUUCCUCAAAAAAAACAGUUCUCUUUUACAGUCUGUGGGCAAAUGAUUGAAGCUCAAAAGUUCAAUGCUGUAAAGUGAGACCAUGUACUUUUAGUCUAAAAAAUUGUUCAACCAGUUGUCCUCAAUCACUCAUAGUUGUCAUGACAAUUUUAUUGCAGCGAUGAUAAACAUUUUAGCUUAAAUCAAUAAAAUUAGUCUUCCAGUUAAUGGCAAAAUGGUUUUCUAGUUCUUUUAAUUGAAUUUACAUACUACAUUGGGUUAAAAAUAAGAACAUUUGCUAAACUGGGCAAUCUGGUUUUAAAACAACUCAUCUUAAGCUUUUUGAUGAUGAUUACAUACCGUAAAUUCCUCCCCGUUUUUGGCACAAAUAGUGUCAUCUGCAUAUAAAAAAACUUUUUCUUUCUGUUCAUCAUUCAUUCAUUCAACAAAUAUUCAUUAAGCUUUAGGGUAUAUUAGUGAACAAUCCAGACGUAAUCUUUGACUCACAGAGUUGACACUGAAGUGGGACAAUGCA
rnacentral:lncRNA from 10 species